GAAAAAAGAGAAAAAAAUAAAUGAGAAAUGAAAUAAAGAGAGAGAACCGGUCCCAAAUGUGGAGGUUGUAGAAGUGGUAAUAACCCCAUACGUGGCAAUAUGGUAUUGGCUUGUUGGUUUCACACGAAGGGAAAUUUUUUUUGUGUUUCUUUCUUCAGUCGGUUCUCUAUUUCUUCGAUAUUGUCGAAGUCUUUUGAUCUUCUUGCCAUGGAAGUUCAUCCACAUGACGAAUCCUUCGAUCUUCAAGAGAUUCACAGGUUUUUAUCUCUCCUCUCUCUUUCUCUUCUUGUUCAUUCCUUGAUUUUUUUCGCCAUUCUCAGCCGCGUGAAAGAGCUCGAGUACGUCACCGUAAUUGCAUAGACGAAUCUGGAGAAUCGAUUCCUUGCGGUUUCGAGGCUUUGGCCCAAGAUUAUGCUCUUCAGCUUGAGACAAAGGUGAAAGAGAUUGUUGAAGAUUAUUGCCAUGUUGAUUCAAUGGAUGUUGAAGAGUCAGGUAUGCUUCUUUUACUUUGUUGUUUAAUGACUAGACGUGUGGCUGUUGAUGUAUUGUCUCUCGUGUGAUCACACUUGAACGUGUUCAUCAAACCUUUGGUUAAGUAUUGUCUAGUCGUCAGCAGUUGAUGUAUUGUCUCCGGUCAUAUGGUGGUUUAUCCGGGCAGAUGUGUGGCUGUUGGCGUCACUCGUGGUUAUGAGAUUCUUGCUCCUCCUCGAGGUGACGACCAUCCCGUCUCUGAUGUUUUCUGGAGACUUCGAGAAAGGCUCUCUCAUGUGUUAGUGUUCUAUAUCGGCGGUAUUCUUUCUUUUUGCUGGUGUUUGGAGAUGUGAAGCACUCCGUUGUUGCUCUCGCUUUGUUUCAGUCCGUGGUGGACAGAGGCGGUGAUGUCUUCGUUGUGGUCAGUUCCUUGUGUGACAGUUUAAGCUGUUGUGUGUCGUGUUAAGGGAGUUCUGCUUAGUAGGAGUGUUCUAUCUUGGUUUUUGGUGUAACGGUUCAGCUGAUAGUUUCUAAUCACAGGUUUUUGGCUGAGUUUUUCCGGCUCCAGUCCAAUGAUUUAGAGUUUUGAAACUCAUGUUCUUUAGUUCGUGGGAAGUCGCAAGAUGAAAUUGUUUCUCUUCUCAUCUUUCUUGGUUCUUGGUUGAUUUCCAAGCUUUUGAUCUCUUCACAUUUCUUCUCGUUUACGAUUUGUAGUUGUAUUUUUAAUAUGUUUUUAUGUCAUUUUUAUUUUAAUUUUUAUGUAUGCUUUUCUUUAAUGUUAUGAUAUCCAAUCUUUCAAAUUUAAAAAGAAAAAAAAUUUUAAGAACCUCACCAAGGUUCUUCCAAUGGACCAUCCGAAAAUUAAUUAGACUAAAAAGUGUUCUAAACUUGUCAAAUCAUACAAUCAAAGACUAAUUUAUUCAUUAGAACCUAAAUGGGUUUCUAACCAAUGGAGAUGGUCUAAAAUCCUUAUUUUUCAAAUAUUAUUUUUUUUCAUUUAUUUUAAGUUAAUGGGCUUUAACUUAGGGCAUUGUGCGAAAGUGAAAGGGGAUCGUGAAAACGAAACUAAGACCAUCUUCGUUUAAUAAGAAUUAAAAAAAUGGCAAUAAACAUAAGUUACGGCUCUUAAUUAGGGAACAUAAGCGACGUCUCUUGUGAGCUCUAUCUUCUCCCUCUUUCGAUUUCCCGAGCUUCAGAUUAACAAACAUGGGCACCACUGGAAACAAGAAUAUCAACGCCAAACUGAUAACAUUUUCAACGCAAUUGCUUAGCUGGGAUUUACUGAGCCAACACCAAUACAAGCUCAGGAAUGGCCAAUGGCUUUAAAGGGUGAAGAACCUGUUUCUUUGACUAAGAGAAGAUUCAGGUCUAAGAAUAUUGAACCUAUACCUUUUUGGAAAAUGCAGGUGGUUCCUUUCAAUGGAAAAUUGGUUAAGGCCAAAAAGAGGUGCCAUUGGUGUGGAACCAGAGGAUGUGAGGAUUUGGUUAGCUGUUUGAGUUGUGGAAGAGAGUUCUUUUGUGUAGAUUGUAUCGAUAAAAGCCCGACGAGAGAGAUGUCCACAUACUUUAGAACUACACGCAGAUCUGUAAAACAAAGGCUCUAAUAUAUACAAGUUAUCCAAGAUUUGGAGAAUGAUUGGUAAAGACUAAAGAGCUCGACGGUAUGGGUUACUUUGAACUGUCGGUGUUUAGCUUUGAGAUAACGCGUGGUUUGUUGAAAGCCGGAGAUAUGAAGAAGAUAAACGUGCAAGGCCGGUCAACAAGGAACCAAUCUCCCCGGUACAGAUAUGAUCGUGACUUUAUAGGUGGCCAGGUUCUUGGCUCGUGACAUUAAGAGAGUUGGAAUCGUUUUGUUUAAUAAAGAGAGUCUUUGUGACUAUGUACUUAAAGAUAAUUUUAUUGUUUUCCUGACUGUGUUAUGUCUCUCUGGUGAUAUGAUGAUAUGAUUAAACUAAAGACUGACUCGAUAUGGUUUUGCUAUAUCCCUUAUGUAUUAAAGUUUAAUACAUAAAUCACUUGACAAAUCAAAUUUUGACAAGUAGAAAAUGCUUUACAAAUAAUAAAAAAUAAUCAACUAAAAAAUCAACAUUCGGAUCCCUAAUUUUCAGCAAUUCAUUUAUAAUUUCUAUCAUAAUAUUGCAUUCACGUUCAAAGUAAAUUGAUCACGAUUAAAAACUGUUUUCUUCCCCUAUAUAAAUUCUUAUCAACAAAUUUAUUUUCUAUUUAUUUUUUCUGACUUUUCUAUUCUCUCUGUUAUCAAACAUGCAAAAUCGAAGAUCCUUUCAUCUCUUCUAAAUUUUCAAUUUUGAUCUCAAGUUCUCGACCUGCUUUUUCAUAUCUACUUUCUUAUGUCUAUACCAAUUCAAUUUUUUUAUUCAUCACCUGGAUUACUACUUAAAAGUUCAUGAUCAUCACAUUUUUCAGAUCAGACAGUGGAAAACAUUCGUCUUUGAACCUUUCUCAAAGCAACAGUUGGUUGGCGGUUGAGUUUAAAUCACGACAGAGAGAGAUUAAUUUUGUUGCAGGCUUCUAGAAUUUGCAGAUCUGCUCUACAGUAAACUUUGAGAAGGUUGAAGACGCUGGAUUACAAAGAACCGAGAUGUGGAGGAGAAAGCGACGUCGGAGCUGCCGCUCUUCAUCAUCACUCAACGCUGGAAUCUUCACAAUCCAUUGGAGAUCCACACCGUUAUCAUAUGAGCCGUACCAAGCC